rnacentral:misc_RNA from 1 species
AUAGGUGAAGGAUGUUUCAUC